GGAGGGAGUCAUGGUGCAUCCAGGGAGAAGGGGAGCAGGUAACUAGGGAAAGUAUCCUGGUGCAUCCAGGGAGAAGGGGAGCAGGUAACUAGGGAAAGUAUCCUGGUGCAUCCAGGGAGAAGGGGAGCAGGUAACUAGGGAAAGUAUCCUGGUGCAUCCAGGGAGAAGGGGAGCAGGUAACUAGGGAAAGUAUCCUGGUGCAUCCAGGGAGAAGGGGAGCAGGUAACUAGGGAGGGAGUCAUGGUGCAUCCAGGGAGAAGGGGAGCAGGUAACUAGGGAAAGUAUCCUGGUGCAUCCAGGGAGAAGGGGAGCAGGUAACUAGGGAAAGUAUCCUGGUGCAUCCAGGGAGAAGGGGAGCAGGUAACUAGGGAGGGAGUCAUGGUGCAUCCAGGGAGAAGGGGAGCAGGUAACUAGGGAAAGUAUCCUGGUGCAUCCAGGGAGAAGGGGAGCAGGUAACUAGGGAAAGUAUCCUGGUGCAUCCAGGGAGAAGGGGAGCAGGUAACUAGGGAAAGUAUCCUGGUGCAUCCAGGGAGAAGGGGAGCAGGUAACUAGGGAAAGUAUCCUGGUGCAUCCAGGGAGAAGGGGAGCAGGUAACUAGGGAAAGUAUCCUGGUGCAUCCAGGGAGAAGGGGAGCAGGUAACUAGGGAAAGUAUCCUGGUGCAUCCAGGGAGAAGGGGAGCAGGUAACUAGGGAAAGUAUCCUGGUGCAUCCAGGGAGAAGGGGAGCAGGUAACUAGGGAAAGUAUCCUGGUGCAUCCAGGGAGAAGGGGAGCAGGUAACUAGGGAAAGUAUCCUGGUGCAUCCAGGGAGAAGGGGAGCAGGUAACUAGGGAAAGUAUCCUGGUGCAUCCAGGGAGAAGGGGAGCAGGUAACUAGGGAGGGAGUCAUGGUGCAUCCAGGGAGAAGGGGAGCAGGUAACUAGGGAAAGUAUCCUGGUGCAUCCAGGGAGAAGGGGAGCAGGUAACUAGGGAAAGUAUCCUGGUGCAUCCAGGGAGAAGGGGAGCAGGUAACUAGGGAAAGUAUCCUGGUGCAUCCAGGGAGAAGGGGAGCAGGUAACUAGGGAAAGUAUCCUGGUGCAUCCAGGGAGAAGGGGAGCAGGUAACUAGGGAGGGCAUCCUGGUGCAUCCAGGCUGAAGGGGAGCAAGUAAGUAGGGAGGGAGUCAUGGUGCAUUCAGGGAGGAGGGGGAUGGGGAGCAGGUCACUAUGGAGAUUGUCUUGGUGCAUCCAGGGAGACUGUGUGCCUGCAACAGGGAGCAGGUAACUGGAGGGAGGUAGGGUGGUGUAAUGGAAUGAGCACUUACCACCCUCACCUCUCUUUAAUACCUAUCUGCUCUCCACUCUCUUAAGUGACUUUUCUGGGCGCCAUUUUCCUCAUCUCUAAAAUGAGAAGGUUGUAACUGAGUUUCAAUGGAUAAAUGAUGGACAGACACAGCUACACCCAGAGAAGGAACACUGGGAAACGAAUGUGAACUAUUUGCAUUUUUGAUUUUCUUCCCGAGUUAUUUUUACCUUCUGAAUCCAAUUCUCCCUGUGCAAUAAGAGAACUGUUCGGUUCUGCAAACAUAUAUUGUAUCUAGGAUAUACUGCAACAUAUUUAACAUAUAUAGGACU